rfam:Colletotrichum incanum strain MAFF 238704 contig2325, whole genome shotgun sequence.
GGUCUAUUAGUCUAGUUGGUUAGGACGUCGGAUUCUGAUCUUGGAAAUUCCGUAGGCCCAGGUUCGAAUCCUGGAUGGACCU